rfam:Macleaya cordata isolate BLH2017 scaffold9075, whole genome shotgun sequence.
ACCGUUGUCAUCUAGUCCGGUAAGGAUGUCUGGGUCUCACCCAGAUGACCCGGGUUCAAAUCCCGGCAACGGAA